UUCGUAGGGGGCAAGCGUUGUCCGGAAUUAUUGGGCGUAAAGGUCGCGUAGGCGGUCCACUAAGUCGGAUGUGAAAUCCAGGGGCUCAACCCCUGAACUGCACUCGAUACUGGUGGACUUGAGGUAGGUAGAGGAGAGUGGAAUUUCUGGUGUAGCGGUGGAAUGCGCAGAUAUCAGAAGGAACACCGAUGGCGAAGGCAGCUCUCUGGGCCUUACCUGACGCUGAGACGCGAAAGCGUGGGGAGCAAACAGG
rnacentral:misc_RNA from 1 species